CAACCCAUCAAGCUUCGGCUUGGACUUGGGGCCUGCGGUCUGCCGCAGCCUCUAAACUCAGUGGCGGUGCUAUUGAGCUCUGUGCGUAGUAAUUUUUCUCGCUAUAGGGUCUCGGUAGUUACUUGCCAGUAACCCCCAAUUUUUAUCA
rnacentral:misc_RNA from 1 species